rnacentral:rRNA from 1 species
UAAGAAGGGGGCUAGCGAUGCUCGGAAUCACUGGGCGUAAAGCGCACGUAGGCGGCUUGUUAAGUCAGGGGUGAAAUCCUGGAGCUCAACUCCAGAACUGCCUUUGAUACUGACGAGCUUGAGUCCGGGAGAGGUGAGUGGAACUGCGAGUGUAGAGGUGAAAUUCGUAGAUAUUCGCAAGAACACCAGUGGCGAAGGCGGCUCACUGGCCCGGUACUGACGCUGAGGUGCGAAAGCGUGGGGAGCAAACAGG